UCCAUCGUGGUGUAGUGGCUAACAUUGCUGUCUUUCAAGCUAUAAAGUUCACAGCAGCCCGGGGUUCGAUUCCCCGCGAUGGAA